rnacentral:rRNA from 2 species
AUACAUGCAGUCGAACGAACUCUGGUAUUAGAUUGGUGCUUGCAUCAUGAUUUACAUUUGAGUGAGUGGCGAACUGGUGAGUAACACGUGGGAAACCUGCCCAGAAGCGGGGGAUAACACCUGGAAACAGAUGCUAAUACCGCAUAACAACUUGGACCGCAUGGUCCGAGUUUGAAAGAUGGCUUCGGCUAUCACUUUUGGAUGGUCCCGCGGCGUAUUAGCUAGAUGGUGGGGUAACGGCUCACCAUGGCAAUGAUACGUAGCCGACCUGAGAGGGUAAUCGGCCACAUUGGGACUGAGACACGGCCCAAACUCCUACGGGAGGCAGCAGUAGGGAAUCUUCCACAAUGGACGAAAGUCUGAUGGAGCAACGCCGCGUGAGUGAAGAAGGGUUUCGGCUCGUAAAACUCUGUUGUUAAAGAAGAACAUAUCUGAGAGUAACUGUUCAGGUAUUGACGGUAUUUAACCAGAAAGCCACGGCUAACUACGUGCCAGCAGCCGCGGUAAUACGUAGGUGGCAAGCGUUGUCCGGAUUUAUUGGGCGUAAAGCGAGCGCAGGCGGUUUUUUAAGUCUGAUGUGAAAGCCUUCGGCUCAACCGAAGAAGUGCAUCGGAAACUGGGAAACUUGAGUGCAGAAGAGGACAGUGGAACUCCAUGUGUAGCGGUGAAAUGCGUAGAUAUAUGGAAGAACACCAGUGGCGAAGGCGGCUGUCUGGUCUGUAACUGACGCUGAGGCUCGAAAGUAUGGGUAGCAAACAGGAUUAGAUACCCUGGUAGUCCAUAC